rnacentral:rRNA from 1 species
GUGGGGAAUAUUGGACAAUGGGGGCAACCCUGAUCCAGCAAUGCCGCGUGUGUGAAGAAGGCCUGCGGGUUGUAAAGCACUUUCGGUGGGGAGGAAAAGCCACGGGUUAAUAACCCGGGGUCUUGACGUAACCCACAUAAGAAGCACCGGCUAACUCCGUGCCAGCAGCCGCGGUAAUACGGAGGGUGCGAGCGUUAAUCGGAAUUACUGGGCGUAAAGCGUGCGUAGGCGGAUACUUGAGUCGGAUGUGAAAGCCCCGGGCUUAACCUGGGAAUUGCAUCCGAUACUGGGUGUCUAGAGUGUGGUAGAGGGGGGUAGAAUUCCUGGUGUAGCGGUGAAAUGCGUAGAUAUCAGGAGGAAUACCGGUGGCGAAGGCGACCCCCUGGACCAACACUGACGCUGAGGUACGAAAGCGUGGGUAGCAAACAGGAUUAGAUACCCGAGUAGUCC